rnacentral:tRNA from 1 species
GCCGGCAUGGCGCAGUGGUAACGCGUCGCACUUGUACAUCAAGCAAAUGCGAAGAUCCCUAGUUCAAUUCUGGGUGUCGGCA